CUGAAUUAAGCAGAUCUUGUAAUAGAUUGUUUAAAAGAGAUUCUAAUAAAGCAUAAGUAUUUGCUUGUAGUGUUUUGCCUCUCGAUUUACUUUCUGCAGUACUACUGUGGUGUCUCCUUUACAUCAACAGGCACCUCCCUUCUUCAAACUUCACAGCUCCAUCAACACAGCACUUAGCGUCGCGCUCGUCUUCGUUCCGUUAAGUAUCAAUGUCUUCUUCCCAUUUUCUACCUACACACAACCAAUAUCAGAUACAAACUUUGAAUAUAAGAAGACUUACCAGCUUAGGAACUCGCUGUUCGAGUACGCGCUUGGCUUUGUGGGUCUUGGGAGUUCGUAUUUCCAUCAUGACUGGUAAUUUUCCGGCGACGGCUCCGAGAAGAGGAGACAAAGGAAGACGAAGAAGAGGUUUUUCGAUAAGAGCCUCUCCGAGAGAUCACGAAAGAAGUUUUGGAAUCAAACCGACUGAUUUCGUCCGGGAGAAAAAGAGAGAUGAGAGAGAUUAGAGAGAGACAGAGAGGUCGCAGUUAUGACGCGUGUCCAGCAAGGAACGUCUCUCGUAGCCCUUAAUUAAGCGACAUCUCUUACAUUAUUAGAUGUCUGCCCGCUCCAAGUUUACGGGGGGUAUUUAAACAAGACUAUUUUGAGGUUGCUUCCUACGUCAACACCACGAGAGGAGAUACUUGGCUCGGUCUAGCAGAGUAGACCCAUUUUAUAACACACAGCAAAAGAUUCAAAGAUACGGUACUUGAAAAUCUCGAACUAUUUACUU